CUGAGCAGAGUGGAGAGCUCAGUGCAGUGACAGGGUGCUGUGACUGCUUCUGAGCAUUUUGAAACCACUGUCGUGUUUGCAGUGUGAUAGCUCUGGAGGGAUUUCAGUGCACAGCCUGCUGCCAUCCUGGCAUCGCCCAGAGUCCAGGGCAGGGAGCCGGAGGAGCCAGUGCAACGCAGGUUUUACACAUUUACUGACUCUGAGUUCGAGCUGAAAUCACAGAGCAGCCAGCUGUUAUGAACACUUCCAUGGGAGUUGCCUCAGAGUCCACGUGUUUUGAGAACCUCGGAUAACAACAGCUCCUGAAGUGACAAACAUUGUGUUUAACAAAGAAAACAAACAAACAAAAAGAAACGCAGAGAAGUAACACAGGCUAAAGGUACUCACUCACCAGCAAGCAAGGAACCUGCAGCAAGGAACAGUCAGAAUAAAGAGAAGUGGCCUGGACCUGCCAAACUUAAAACCUAACCCCCAGUGCAGUGGGGCUUUCUGGGAAGGAGUUCCUAUAAUGGGAGGCUCCUUGCAGUUGGGUAAGUGCUAAGGGGCUUUGCCUGCUGUAAUCAAUAGCUCACUUACACCAGGUGAUCCUAAAGCAUAGGCAAGAUAAGGCACAACACAGCUUACUGGGAAGAGAAAAGGGAAUAUAAGGGAUCCCUGACCAAUCAAUUUUUUUGAUCUUCAUGUACUUGCUCCUGGGCUGGCCUGUGUGAAUGAAUGGUCUCUGCCUCAGGAUGCUCCUGCCUGUCAGUGCAGCUCUCUGCAGGGGCAGGGCCAAGGGGCCACUUCAGUUCAUUCCCUCCCCGAGCACAGCCCUGGCUGCCCCACUGCUGCUCCCUCCCCACACUGAAUUCUGAGCUGUGCAAGUGAAGCACAGGGAGCUUUCUGUCUGUCCUCACAUGAAAUAACUUCUGGCCUGAAGGGGUAAUGGAGGCAGAGAGCAAGAAUGCAGCUCUUCUGCUGCAGGAGGAGGAGAGUGAGGUGUCUCUUCUCUGCUGAUGAGCACAGGGAACAGCAAGACACUGCUCUGAAAUGUGGCAUGUUUCUGUAGCCAGCAAGUGCCAUUUUUGUGUUGGCAAGACAUGAUCUAAGUUUCUCUAUCACUUCUUUUUCAUCCUGGGCUACCCUUCUGUGGUCACCUGCAACAGGCUCUUGUCUUGCCAGAAAAAAAGAAUCAUCUUGCAGCGAGCACUGAGGACAGUGUUUGAGCAGACUCUCCUUUGAGACACACAGGCAGCCUCCUCAACGACAACUGCUUUGUCCGAAAACACAGUUCCAACCCUCACACUGAUCCACAUCAAUGAUUUUAGCAGGAGAUGCUGUUGGCUGGGCAGGAGCUGGAAGCUCUCCAGACCUCUGUUCUGGACUUUAGCGGAAAAUCUGUUUCUUUAGCACUCUGGUCUACUUUUUGUGCUGCACUGACAGAGCCUGACAGUGUAAUUCUACCUGCAUUCAAAAUCAGCAGCUGAAGUCUCACUGCUUUCAGAUGGAAACUGUUCCAAGCUCUUAAUCUUAAUUAAGUGUCCAAAUUAGAAAUUAAUCAGCGUUCCAUGUUCAAAGAGUUGGAAACAGUGAUACUCUGUGUCUUCAUAAAACAUCACAAAUGAACCGUUUCUAAACACAGGGUAUAAAACAAACCUGGAUAGAAAAGCAUUGAGCUGGUACGCAGGCAGAAAAACAGAAACUGCUCUACAUUGGACAGUACUGCUAAAUCUGGUCAGUUCCGAGAUCUGGCAUCACUGAGAGUCUGUGCAGAGUAUGGGAAAUGAAACUUGGCUUCUGCAGUCCUCACUUUCCAUUCAUAAUGCCCAUCUGUUGCUGAGAGAUUUCAGAAAAGCAAACUCCAUUUCUCAGUGCAGAGGAUGUCCCAGUAACAGCUGAAAUAUGACUACAGGGACUGAGAGAUGUUUCCCCAUCCUCAGUUUCUAUAAGUACACUAAAAUAAAACAGCCUCUAGAUUUGGGACAAACCUAACUAGAUUACUCUUUAGGUGUACUGUGGCCUAAGUUUCUCUGAUGAUAGGAUAUCACAGAAAUCAUGCAGGAGUUCGGAUCCUCCCAAGGAGUAGCAAAGAUCCAUCAUUCCUACCAGUAGUGCUCAGAAAACUCAGCAGCAGUGCCGAGCCAGAAUCCCACUGCGCAGAUGUGCAUCAGUGGAAACAGUAUCAGACUCUUCAUAAAAAUGAAAUGUUUUAUCAUUUAACUCCUAUGAGGUUUGGGAAACAAUGUCAAAAAAGAAAAGGCAAAUGAAAAUCUGUCAAUAGACUGAACACAUUUUUGUCCAGCCUUGGGCUGAACAAAAUCCCACAGUUACUUUCCCCACAGGAUACAGUGUCUCAGUCAAAUUCUAGAAAUGUAUUUCUCUGGGAAUUCAGCCACAGGACUCCUGUCCUGCAUUAGCUGCAAACAUGAGACAAAAGGAUAUAACUGAAAUCCGAGAAGCCUGGCCAAUGGACACGCCAGAUUAGGAAAGCAUCAGGGUACUGUGAUCAUUGGCAAUCUCAGUGUCAAGUGCUAAGAACAUGUGUUUAAGCAGAUCUGCAUUCUGAGGAUCCUCUCAUUUAUUUUUUUGUUGACCAAGAUACAGUUUAUAAGACUCAUGACCAAAACCUCAGGUCCCUUUCCCAUCUUCUCUCCAGAGAGCUGUAUGUCCCUCACACAGCUAACCAGCUGGUGUGGAUAUGAUGAGUAGAGACCAAGAUGUGUUUGCUUUUCCCAGGAACAUGCAAGAACAGGACAGAUUAGGGUAAGACAUGUCUGUGGUUUUAUCCUCCAAGAAGGAAGCAAAUAUCCCAGUGACAGACCCACAAGAACCCAGUAUUACUCGGAGCAUUUUCUCUUUUUACAUCUAAACACAAUGAUCAUGCACGACCAAGUUGUAGUCAUGUCACAAUAGGGAUGUUCCCCCAUGGGGAGAGGGACGGAGGGGCAGAAGGACAGAUGUGGAAACAUUCCCCUCAGAACCUUUCUACCCAGCUGAGCCAGGUCCAAAGUGCCAGUGAAGACUGCACAGCACAGGAAAAGGCAACUGGAUCUUCUCUCCAAGAAUGAUUUUAGAAACCUGCUCCUUCCCUGUCUGGAGACAUCUGAAGUCUUUUUUUUUUCCCUGUUAUUGCUUGAAAGUGUUUAAGUUGGUCUGGAGAAUACUUCCAUCCCUCCUUUUUGAUCAUUUGUUCUCUUCUCUUACCUCUCCUUGAUUACUAUGUCUCCAGCUUUCCUUUUAGUUUAGUGAUUAGAAGUCUAAUCUGUCUAACAGAGAGGGUUUUGCACCACAGAGACUCAAUUUAAUUCAUUCUAGCUACUUUCUCUUUCUUGAAACAGCAAAGUUAGCUAUUAAAGUAUUUUGGUGGCUAUUCAAACGAAACUCUGCUGGAGCUUAGUUAUCCCUUACCACAGCAGAGCGUGGUAAGGAAGGGAAUGGAGAGAGCCGCUGAUUCUUGGUUCUAGCCCCUAGAUUUCUGUCAGUGUCUGGUACUCAGAUGGGAAGCUAAAUAUGCUGCCUGCUCUCAAUGUGUUGCUGUGGUCACCUGCAAAGCAAAAACUGGUUGUGCUUGGAUCAACUCCUCGCCUGAGCUUCAGAGAAGUCCCAGGAGUGGGAAUGGCCAGUCCCAGCCAACACUCGAGGGAAAACCAGAGCACAGAGAGAACGCUCUGGCACAGAGCAGCUGAGCUGACCCACUUCAUGUUUGCUUCUGCCUGGCUCCAAAUGGACACUCAGCUGUUCAGCCAAGGCUGCCUGCAGCAGCAAAAGGGCUCUAACCCCCGUAAUGCUCGUGCAGGAUAAACUUUGCCCACUCUCUGCUUUACUGAAACAGCUAUUCCUCUCCCAAAUGAGUGCAAGCUGCUCGGGCUCUGACAUUUCUCCCACUUACCCUUCCUGCAAGACACACAGUUCAGGAACCCACUUCUGCUUCUGUUCAGGCUGUGCAGAUUAUUCACGUCUCUGUUGUCUGAAUUAACCCUUUUCAGCUCCUGUACCCCCAUCAAAUGCAGAACUUUUGUUCUGUUAUGUAUGACAGUGCUGUUGGGAACUAGCUUGUCCUCAUGCACUUGACAUCUAAAGUAAGGAACUGCAAAUUUUCGUAGGAACUGAAAAAACACGGUAGAGAAAAGAAGGAUUUCAAUCCCAUCUCGUGUACAAGGGCUGCCUUACGAUGGGCAUGUAAAGCACCUGGCACCAGAAGCCCCCACCCCAUCCACUGCUGCCAGGCACGGUGGCAAUGUGGGAACAGUGGAAAUCUCACCAGGACAGAUAUUUAUGCGAGUGACCUGUUCAGCCAGUGAAAUCAUUUUGAACAACAAGACAGCUUUUUUCAGUCUGAAGAAAUUGGUACUUUCACCCCAGCCAUUAUUUAUUUUACAAGUGUCCUGCAUAUAAUGAAAGGAACAAUCUUUCUUACCAUCUGCCUUGCUGAAAGGCACAUUUUGUGUGUCGAACAGUUUCAGAGAGCUAAUGGCAAAGUGCACAUUACUAGCCCAGCAGUGAAAGCAUUUGUAAACAUCAUCAUCAUCAAAGAGGCCUAGAGCUGCAAAGGCUGUUUUUUGCCUUGUGAGUUUAUGUCUGUAAAUGACUAAUUGGUAAAGUUUUAUCUGCAGAAGGUGGUUGGUGGUGGAAGAUAUUUACAAGAAAGAAAAGCAGGAAAUAAUUCAUCUUGAGAAGCUGAAUCUAAUCUGGGAUGUUGGUGAAUUAAAACGAGCUUUAAAAAUAGGUCUAUUUUCUUUUUAAAAAGAUAUAAAAAUACAAUUUUACUUUUCAUGAAAUGAGAAAUGGGAAUGGGCAGCCAGAGGGUGUAAAAAACUGGAAAACAGGUGAGAGUGAGACCAUGUGUCUCUGUCAUUUAGAUCAUGCAGUAGACACCACUCAGGAGUGUUUUGGGAUGGAGAAGCUGAGCACUUGCGCUUACUUGCUGCACUUGCCAUUAAUUUAUUAAAGCCAAAGAAGGUGCCAUAUUUUGAGGGAAACAACAGCUUCACUGUGGAAAUAACCACUUAGAUUUUGUUGCAUUAUUUAGUGCAACCUCCAAAUAUUCUUCUUCUUUGGAACAAAAUCAAAAAGGAAGAAAAAGGUAUUGCAGGCUGGAGAGCAAUAUUUUCCUUUAAUUGUUAAAGUAAUUUCAGAUGAGCUUGGUGUUUAGUCUCCACUGCAGGAAAUAUUGCUCUACCUGUCUGAAAUAGUUCUUAUCAGGAAAAUAAUGCUCACUACCUCUGCUGAAAAAUCAAGAGGUGACUCUUUAAAAUAGUUAUAUGACCUCUAAAAGUACCCAAAAUAAAGGAGCAGCAAGGAUGCUGGAAUCCCCGUUAGCUAAAGGGCCUCCUAGGCUUUCAUUGGGUUACGGAUGUGUUUAACUAAUAGAAAACAUUACCCAGUCUGAUUCCUGUCCUAGAAGCAAAAUAGGGAUAAUUUAGUAUCAGAAGUGAUUAAUGUCAUUUACUUACCCAUUUUGUUAAAGCUGUUACUGAAUUUAAAAUGCUACUCACAAAUUAAAUAUUUUACAACCAUUUUGCUCCUAAUUAGUUGCAGAUCACAGAUUUCCUUUAAACAUAAUGGCUGUUUAGGUGGUGGGGUUUGCAAUGCACAUUGUUUUUUUACAAUCACUUCUGACAUUUUGAGAAUUUGUUUAAUUUUGAUUAAUUUCAGUUAAAUGAGAUGAGAGUGUACAAUCUCCUUGGAAAGGUCUGUUGUUUCAAAGUGUGGUUUAAGUGCACAACAUCCCUCAGCUAUUAAUUUGCACACUUUGCCAUAUACAUGUGGGACUUUAAGAGUCUGAAUUAAUGUAGCUUAAAGAGAUGUUAUCUUGAUUGUUAUUUGGAUCAGGAUAGUUUAACAUACCCUUAAUAAAAACAAAUAUCCUGUCACAUAACGACCCGAAACUUUUCAGGGAUUUCUUUUGAUGAUACCUUUUAAUAAAAACUUUAAUUUGAAUUAGAAACAGUGAAGUAAAGAGUGCACAUCCUCUAUAUGAGCAGCAGAGAAAAGCUGGUUAGUUUUUUUCAGCCACCAAUGAACAGCAAUUGUAGGAUGCCAGGGACUUCUGAAGGUUGUGCUGAAGCCAAGGUAGGUCUGCCAAGAGACAGGUAAAAGUAGUAAACAAACUUGAUACUCUAUUUGAGUCUUCCCCUGUUAGAACAAAGUUGAUGUGCAUAUUUGGAACAAACCUUAAUAGUUUGUUUAACAUGUUA